rnacentral:rRNA from 1 species
UACGUAGGGUGCGAGCGUUAAUCGGAAUUACUGGGCGUAAAGGGCUCGUAGGCGGCCAACUAAGUCCGACGUGAAAUCCCCAGGCUUAACCUGGGAACUGCGUCGGAUACUGGAUGGCUUGAAUUCGGGAGAGGGAUGCAGAAUUCCAGGUGUAGCGGUGAAAUGCGUAGAUAUCUGGAGGAAUACCGGUGGCGAAGGCGGCAUCCUGGACCGACAUUGACGCUGAUGAGCGAAAGCUAGGGGAGCGAACGGG